UUCAGCGGUCAGCUGCUACAUUUGGUAUCGAGACCUCGUGAAAAUUCACGAUCCUGAAGUCGUCGGUUCAACCCCCACCGAUCACGUUCGGGUGGUAUUCGGGUGUGGCGACUCAGUGAGCGAAUAUCGCACAAAGAUAUAAAAAAUAAGUAGCUGAACCGACUGGACUGUCUCUGUGCCUGAAAAACCUGAAGACGGCUAGGCGCAUGUGAGGGCGGCACAUGACGUGACGUGGGCUUGGACCACCCACUGCCCGAGGGUAGGCGACGGUAGGCACAGGCUGGCGGUAUACGAGGCUCUAAGGGCCCGGGACGGUUCCCUUCAAAGGGGGGGGAAUGUAGCAGCCGGUAUACAGUACGGUGCUAUAAAUACGCGCAGAGCGCGACCGCCAGCAACUCGAGAGACCUUUUCAGCGGUCAGCUGCUACAUACUGCUUGGCAAAGAGAUGAUGUGUAGUAUCGAAACCUCUUCUGAAACCCGCUUGGCCUC
rnacentral:lncRNA from 1 species